UACGAAGGGUGCAAACGUUGCUCGGAAUCAUUGGGCGUAAAGCGCACGUAGGCGGCUUCGCAAGUCGGAGUGAAAUCCCUCGGCUCAACCGAGGACGUGCAUCCGAAACUGCGGAGCUUGAGUACUGAAGAGGAUCGCGGAAUUCCCGGUGUAGAGGUGAAAUUCGUAGAUAUCGGGAGGAACACCAGUGGCGAAGGCGGCGAUCUGGGCAGUUACUGACGCUGAGGUGCGAAAGCGUGGGGAGCAAACAGGG
rnacentral:rRNA from 1 species